rnacentral:rRNA from 1 species
GAUGAACGCUGGCGGCGUGCCUAAUACAUGCAAGUCGAGCGAACAGACGAGGAGCUUGCUCCUUCGACGUUAGCGGCGGACGGGUGAGUAACACGUAGGUAACCUACCUAUAAGACUGGGAUAACUUCGGGAAACCGGAGCUAAUACCGGAUAAUAUUUCGAACCGCAUGGUUCGAUAGUGAGAGAUGGCUUUGCUAUCACUUAUAGAUGGACCUGCGCCGUAUUAGCUAGUUGGUAAGGUAACGGCUUACCAAGGCAACGAUACGUAGCCGACCUGAGAGGGUGAUCGGCCACACUGGAACUGAGACACGGUCCAGACUCCUACGGGAGGCAGCAGUAGGGAAUCUUCCGCAAUGGGCGAAAGCCUGACGGAGCAACGCCGCGUGAGUGAUGAAGGUCUUCGGAUCGUAAAACUCUGUUAUUAGGGAAGAACAAACGUGUAAGUAACUGUGCACGUCUUGACGGUACCUAAUCAGAAAGCCACGGCUAACUACGUG